UUUUUUCAACGCCCCUUGGCAAUCAUUAUUCCACCUGACCGUUUGAUCUCUUUUUUUUCUUGAAGGGGUUCCCACGUGGCUGUUAGGUGAGAUGUGAACCAUGACAUGUAGUUCAAUCUACCCAGGAGACCACGAACCUCUCUUUCUGUUCUCGGUUCAGGCAUUCCUUUUUUCUUUUCCUUUUUUUUUUUUUUUUAGCAGGAUCAACCUCGAUUCCUCUCUUACAAUGAACCCCAUCAGCUUACCGGCCCGCACUCUGAUAGUGCACUUGUCUGAAUUCAACCUCCGUUUGAAUUGUCUCAACCAGUUCCCUCAGCUUGGUCAGAUCCACCAGAUGCCCCUCUUCUGCUUGGGACUUUGCUAUCAUGUCAUCAACAUAGCAUUCAAUUUC
rnacentral:lncRNA from 1 species